CUUGGUGAACCAGCGGAGGGAUCAUUG
rnacentral:rRNA from 1 species